AGUGAACGCUGGCGGUAGACCUAACACAUGCAAGUCGAACGGCAGCACAGUAAGAGCUUGCUCUUACGGGUGGCGAGUGGCGGACGGGUGAGGAAUACAUCGGAAUCUACUUUUUCGUGGGGGAUAACGUAGGGAAACUUACGCUAAUACCGCAUACGACCUACGGGUGAAAGCAGGGGAUCUUCGGACCUUGCGCGAUUGAAUGAGCCGAUGUCGGAUUAGCUAGUUGGCGGGGUAAAGGCCCACCAAGGCGACGAUCCGUAGCUGGUCUGAGAGGAUGAUCAGCCACACUGGAACUGAGACACGGUCCAGACUCCUACGGGAGGCAGCAGUGGGGAAUAUUGGACAAUGGGCGCAAGCCUGAUCCAGCCAUACCGCGUGGGUGAAGAAGGCCUGCGGGUUGUAAAGCCCUUUUGUUGGGAAAGAAAAGCAGCAGGUUAAUACCCCGCUGUUCUGACGGUACCCAAAGAAUAAGCACCGGCUAACUUCGU
rnacentral:rRNA from 1 species